UGAGGAAUAUUGAGCAAUGGGCGCAAGCCUGACUCAGCAACGCCGCGUGGGCGAUGAAGGCCUUCGGGUCGUAAAGCCCUUUUCUGAGGGACGAGAAAGGACGGUACCUCAGGAAUAAGUCACGGCUAACUACGUGCCAGCAGCCGCGGUAAUACGUAGGUGGCCAGCGUUAUCCGGAAUCAUUGGGCGUAAAGCGCGUGUAGGUGGUUUCGUUAGUCGGACGUGAAAUCUCCUGGCUUAACUGGGAGGGGCCGUUCGAUACUGCGGAGCUUGAGGUCGGGAGAGGGACGUGGAAUUCCCGGUGUAGUGGUGGAAUGCGUAGAUAUCGGGAGGAACACCAGUGGCGAAGGCGGCGUCCUGGCCCGCACCUGACACUCAGACGCGAAAGCGUGGGGAGCGAACGGG
rnacentral:rRNA from 1 species